rnacentral:misc_RNA from 1 species
UCCGGCUUAUCACCGGCAGUUUCUCUAGAGUGCCCAACUGAAUGAUGGCAACAUAGGACGGGGGUUGCGCUCGUUGCGGGACUUAACCCAACAUCUCACGACACGAGCUGACGACAGCCAUGCACCACCUGUGACAGUGUCCCGAAGGAAAACCGUGUUUCCACGGCGGUCACUGACAUGUCAAGCCCAGGUAAGGUUCUUCGCGUUGCGUCGAAUUGAACCACAUGCUCCGCUGCUUGUGCGGGUCUCCGUCAAUUCCUUUGAGUUUUAGCCUUGCGGCCGUACUCCCCAGGCGGGGCACUUAAUGCGUUAGCUCCGGCACGGGAGGAGUCGACACCUCCCACACCUAGUGCCCAUCGUUUACGGCGUGAACUAC